rnacentral:lncRNA from 1 species
AAACGACUCUUGCUAGACAAGUUUAUGAUGAUAUUUACAUGGAGCAUCACUUCUACAUUCGCGCUUGGAUUACCGUAUCUCAAAUGCAUCAACAUAGAGAAAUGUUGUUGGGCAUUUUGCGGUGUUUUUCACUUGUCAAUGACAACACCUAUCUAAAGAGUACUGAGCAAUUAGCCGAGCAAGUUUAUAGAAGUUUGAAGGGAAGGAGAUAUCUCAUUGCAAUGGAUGAUGUGUGGGACACCAGUGCAUGGGAUGUUGUGAAAAGAUCUUUUCCAGAUGAUAAAAAUGGAAGCCGUGUCAUACUUACUAGUCGGCUAGCAAAUGUGGGUAUCUAUGCUAGCUCAGGCAGCCCUCAUUAUAUGCAGUGCUUAAGUGUGGAAGAGAGCUUGAAGUUGUUCAACUUAAAGGCAUUUGGAAGGGAGACUUGCCCCCUUGAGCUGGAGAAAGCUACAAAGCAAAUAGUCGAGAAAUGUCAAGGACUACCACUAGCAAUCGUUGUGGUGGCUGGAUUUUGUUCCAAGAUAAGCAAGACAGAAAACUGUUGGGAAGAUGUAGCACAUAAAAUUGGUAUGGUUGUGAGUAGGGGCACAGAAGAAUGCCUGGACUUACUCACCUUGAGUUAUAACCAUUUGCCACAUCACCUGAAGCCAUGCUUCCUGUAUAUGGGAGCUUUUCCAAAAGACUUUGAGAUUAGUGUUUCAAGACUAAUCAAGCUAUGGAUUGCUGCGGAAUAUGUAAGAUGCAAACCUAAAAAGGACUUCGAAGAAGUUGCUGACGGAUACCUAAGAGAUCUUAUAGAUAGAAGUCUAAUUAUGGUUAAGAGAAGGACCUCAAGUGGCAAGGUCAAAACAUGCGAAGUUCAUGAUCUACUGCAUGAUUUAAUCCUAAGAGUAGCAUGGAAAGAGAGAUCGAUCUACUUUGCUAAAUCUAAUGUGAUUGUUUAUCAACCAGUGGCAUCUUUUGAACAUCGCAUCAUUUUCUAUUUUCCCAAUGUUUGUGAUAAAUCUUCACUUCCUCGUGCAAGUUCCUAUCUUUGUUUUGGAAGAGAUGGAACUCCUGGAUCCUGUUCUCAGGUUGAUUCGUUUCUCACCUUUACCAACUUCACAUGUUUAACAGUAUUGGAUAUGUGUUUUCAGCCAUUUGACCAUCUACCGUCAGAAAUAUGGGAAUUAUCUCAACUGAGGUAUCUUGCCCUCGCCAGUUUUAGUGUUCUCCCAUCAUCAGUUCGCAAUCUUAGGUGUCUUCGGACACUAAUUCGUUACAGUCACCAGGCUAGUAUUUGUUUGCCGGCAGAGAUAUGGGUGAUUAAACAAUUAAGGCAUCUCUAUUUCAGGAAAUGCUUCUACUUUCCUAAUGUUCAACCUGAACAAGAAAAUUAUCUGCUCAAGUUAAGUCGCUCUAAUCUUGCAGAGCGUAGUUUCUCUAGUGUUGCAUUAACCAAUCUGCAAACCCUUUCUUACAUUACCUUUGGUAGUAUUACAAGGCGCGUCUUUGAAGGCAUGCCCAACCUGAAGAAGUUAGGAAUUCGUGAAAGUGAAGAAGAAUGCCUGACUGCUGAACAAAUGUCUGGAAAACUCAAGAAACUGGUUCUGUUGGAACACCUUGAAACAUUCAAGGGUUUCUUUAUCAAACCAUGGAUACUUAAACAAUGUGAUGUUUUCCCACCAACCCUCAAGAAAUUGACGUUGCGGGGGUGCCAACUACCAUGGGACCAAAUGACGAUACUGUGCAAGUUACCCAAACUCGAGGUGCUCAAGCUCAAGGAUUAUGCUUUCCAAGGAUCAGAAUGGGAGCCAACUGACGAACGCUUUCAGCAGCUAAAAUUCCUACUGUUGGAUGGGACUGAUCUUAUCCACUGGAAAGCCAGUUCUAUUCAGUUCCCUAAGCUUGAGAGUCUUGUUCUGAAGAAUUGUUAUUGCCUGUAUGAGAUUCCUGAUGAAGUAGCGGAAAUACCUACCUUGCAGUUCAUUGAAUUGUAUCACUGUAGCUCUUCUGCUGAUGACUCCGCAAAUAGGAUUCAAGAAGAACAACAUAGCAUAGGAAAUGACGAUCUUGUGGUGCGGAUCCACAAAUUUUACAACUGUGAGUUUUACAUGCACUCGUUGAAUUUUCGUUCAUGCAAAGAUCAACUGAUACCAUACUGUAGUAACUAUUUUGUUCUAUUUGUGCUGCAGCUGAACCUUAGGGCCUCCGUUUGUCUAAUAUUUGGCGCGCCCCCUCGACAAGCAAAAGGCUAAUGCAGAGGUUUUAACUUGUUAAACUUCUAAUUCUUUUGUGAUUGCUGAUAUUGGGAGUUAUUUAGGUUGCAUUGAUGCUACAAAAGCUUUUUUUGCCAGGAAAGUUUAGCUUUCCCAGGAAAAAUUCAUCAACUUGGCUAGCAACAGUUGACGAAUUGUCCAGGCGGGGAGUUCCGAUGUCCAGAGACUCUGCACUCUGUGACACUGGAUUGGAGGAAUCAUUUGCUCACCUCUUCUUUGAUUGCAUAUAUCUUAGCUCAAUCCGGAAGGUUUUAUUGAAGUGUUUAGGUGUUACACGACAUUCCACAUGCUGUGAAACUGAAAUUACAUCGUUGACACAAAGAGCACAGAGAAUCAGACCAAAAGCUGAGAUUCUGAGGUUCCUAAUUCAACGCAGCAGUUUACCAUGUCUGGUUGGAAGAAAUACCAGAAGAUUCCAACAAGUCCAGUGAGUGUGUUCAUACAGAUUGAAGGAGAUAGUAGUUCAGCUAGAUAUCAGAGAUAUUCACCUAGCUAAAUGGAAGCAAUUGCUAGUGGCAUUGAACAGUUAUCCAGUCUAAGAAAUAGAUUUGCCUGAUGUUGUCUUUUUUUUUUUCCUUAAAUAGGAGUGCUUCUAAAAUUUUGAGGUCUAGUUCCUAGCGUUCAUAUGAACUAGCAGUUGUAAAUAGACUAACUUGGUUGAAUACAAUUUCCCUGUUCCUACAAAUGGAAUAGAUCUAUAUUUUCUGUUUUAUUGGUGCUCUGACUGAAAUUAACUCUCAGCAUCUUGCACUUUCUGAUUUAUUCUGAGAGAGUAAGCACCUGAUGCUGUUGUUGAAUUUCUCUUGUUAAAUUCGAAACAGUUACUGCUUUGUCAUGUGGAUUUGCUUUCAGGACUAAAGGAUCAAGUUGAGUCUCUUCAUAGAGCUUAAUUUGAUGAAAAUUUUCUUAAGGACUCUCGUUAGAAGUACAGUGAGUUGCCACACCUGGUCAGCUUUUGAAGUUGCUGCAAGAAGGUUAGUAGGCCUACUCUUACUGAUUUAGAAGUUCACUAGGUUUGCUUCAUUUUCUGCGUCAACAUGUUAUCUUAACUCUUUAUUCUAUUAUCUUUUCAUGCAUCAUGUUUGCAGCAGAAAAUUAUUUAAGCAAAGAGAAAGUCUCCUAAAAUUUAAUAUCAUCAAUUAAAAAUUAUCACGGAUUACAUUGUUUUAUUAACUUUUGUAAAACAGUUAUUUGGCCCAUGUUUCAUCAUGGGGACUGUUCUAUCCUAAUGUAAAUUUUUUAAUUAUGUUAUAAAGAUAUGUUUGUUGUUAUAAUAUAAUUACAGUGUAAAUUUUUGUAAUUAACCAUACACUGCUAUAAUACUUGCUAGUAGCUCUUUAGAUGAAAGGCAAAAGAAGAACAGAUUUAGAGGAAGAAGAAGAAGAAUGAGAUGAGUAGAUGAGAAAGAUUGUUAGAGAGUGAAUAGAUUUGUUGUAUUCAUCAUCCUUCAAUGUAUAUUGUCAUUUACAUUUAUAGGCUAGAGAUUAGGCUAACUAACUAACUAACUGGCCGUUAACACUAGUGUAACUAACUAAAAAACAGUUAUAAUAGAAAGCCCACUAGUCUAAUUAUUGCUUCUUCUAGAUUCUUCUUCACUCUCUUCUUUAUACUUCCAACACCCCCCUCAAGCUAGGAAGUAUUGAAUAUAUGAUGAAUGGAGUUAGGGCAUUGGUUUAUUUUGUGGGUGAGCAGUGAAGGCUCCCAUGAAGACCAUGUGGUUAUGUAUAGUGCUGAUAUGGGUAAGUAGUUGAAGUCCUUAAACGUUCCUUGGGUUGCAAUGUAGUGAGUUUUGAUCAUUCCUUGCACAAGUUUUUCCCUGAUAAAGAAGCAUUCAAUGUCAAUAUGUUUUGGUCUCUCAUGGUAUAUUGGAUUUGUUGCUAUUUGCAUGGCAGACUUGCUAUCACUGAACACAUGGUAGAACUACUUCACUCCCAACUGCUUUCAUCAGGCCUAGGAUACUGCAACAAGACUUCUAAACUCUGCUUCUGCUGAACUCUUAGAGACAGUAGUUUGCUUCUUUGAUUUCCAGGAAACUAGUGAUUCUCCAACCUUCACAAAGUAGCCUGUUACAGACCUUCUAGUCUGAGGGCAUGAUGCCCAGUCUGCAUCACAAUAGGCACUUAUUCUGUCAUCUGCAUUACUAGAUAGUAGCACACCUUGACCUAGUUGGUUCUUAACAUACUUCACAACCCUCAGUGCUGCUUCCAUGUGAGACUUCUUAGGAUCCUGAAGAAACUGACUUAAUGUCUGAACACAGAAGGUUAUGUCUGGCUUUGUCAUAGUCAGGUACAAUAGUUUACCAAUUAGCUUUUGGUAAGCAACUUGAUCUGUUGGAGGAUCCUCAGUAGACUUUCCAUGCUUAAUAUGUUCAUCAAACUAUUUGAAUGUCAGUUUGAUAUUGUAGUCCAUAGGAGUAGCUGUAGGUUUAGCUGUUUUUAAGCCUAAAUCAGACAAUAGUUCCAAGGCAUACUUCCUUUGAUGGAUCAAUAUCCCUUUAUCAGACCUUGCAAAUUCUGUUCCAAGGAAAAAUCUCAAUUCACCUAGAUCUUUCAUCUUGAAGUUCUGAUGUAGGAUUGUCUUGGUUUCUUCUAUCAGCUUUAAGCUAUCUCCAGUGAUCAACAUGUCAUCAACAUAUACUAGCACCAAUGUGACUCCUUCUAAUGUCUUUUUGAUGUAUAAUGAUGGAUCAAAUUGGCUCUGAGUGAACUGAGACCUUAGUAAUACCUCUGAUAACUUUGUAUUUCACUGCCUUGGUGCUUGUUUUAGUCCAUAUAGGGAUUUGAGUAGUCUACAUGCUACAUUCUCCCCCUGACUAGCAAAUCCUUGAGGUAGAUCCAUGUAGACCUCAUCAUUUAAAUCACCAUUCAAGAAUGCAUUAUAAACAUCCAUUUGAUGUAUAAACCAAUGCUUUCUAGCUACAGUAGCAAGGAUAAUUCUUACUGUUUUCAGUUUCACAACAGGUGAAAAUGUUUCUUUGUAGUCAAUUCCUUCUCUUUGUCCAUAUCCUUUUGCAACCAGUCUAGCUUUAAAUCUUUCAACAUCACCUGAAGCCUUAUGCUUUACUUUGUAUAUCCACCUGCAACCAAUAGAUUUCUUCCCUUUAGGCAAAGUAACUAUUUCCCAAGUAUGAUUGGAAUUCAGUGCAUCUAUCUCAUUCUUCAUUGCUUCCACACAUCUAGGGUCUUUACAAGCCUCAGUGUAACUUGUAGGUUCAGUGACACAAGAAGACUUCCGUACAUAGUCUUUAUAAGCUGAAUAGAGUUUGUCAUAUGACACAUGAUUGUCAAGUGCAUGAGGUACUUUCUUUGUAUUUUUGGAGACAAAAUCAUUCAUCCAUGCAGGUGGCUUUUUGUCCCUACUUGACUUCCUUUGGUCCUGAUGAGUAGAGUUUGCUGGAGUGAGAAUCACUUGCACUUGCUGCUUUUGUUGACCACUUGAGUUAGUGACCCCUUGAUCUCUAGUAGACCUUAUUUGAUAUACUUGAGUUACAGGUUGUAGACCUCUAGUAGAUCUUCUUUGAUAUACCUUAGUUAUGGAAUGUGUAGAGAGACGAGUAGCCUGUAAUUGCUGGUCCUGCUGACUUAUCUGACCAGGAACCUGCUGACUUUCCUGAUCAGGAACCCCUUGAGGUGCCAUGGUUGCUGUUAUCUGUGGACACAUCUCAUCACCACCUAGUAGUUGAAAUUGAUCUUCCAAAGGAAAAAUGUGAUGGGGUGCCUGAGUUUGUAGUUGUAGUAGCUUGAAUGGAAACACAUCUUCUCUGAAUGAGACAUCUCUACUGACAGAGAAGAUGUUAGUUGAUAUGUCAUACACUAAGUAUCCUUUCUAAGUGCUGGAAUAUCCCAUCAUGACACUUGUUCUUGCUUUAGGCAUGAGUUUGUCAUGCUCAUUUAACACCUUGACAUAGCAUAGACACCCCAUGACCUUGGGAUGAUCAGAGUUUGGCCUUUUACCAUACAAUUUCUCAUAAGAGGUUAAGUGCUGAACAACUGAGCUAGGUAGCCUAUUGAUGAUGUACACUGCAGUGAGAACACAAUAGCCCCAGAACCUUAUUGGAAUGCCAGCCUGAAACCUGAUAGCUCUUGUGACCUCUAAGAUAUGUUUAUGUUUUCUCUCAACAACAUCAUUUUGCUGAGGAGAAUAUGGGCAAGUUGUUUGAUGGAUUACACCAUUAUCUUGGAACAACUUUUGACACAAUGAGUUAACAAACUCUGUGCCAUUAUUAGUUCUGAUCACCUUGACAGUUUUUUCAAAUUGUGUUUUGACAUACAUAAGGAACUGCUGUACUUGACAAAAGACAUCUGACUUGAGCUUUAAUAGAAACACCCAAGUAAACCUUGAAAAGUCAUCAACAACUGUUAGAAAAUACUUGUUUCCAUUCAUAGUUGGUACUUUGUAUGGUCCCCACAAAUCCAUGUGCACAAGAUCAAAACAACAAGUAGUUUGAAUGUUAGUUGACACAAAUGGUAAUCUAGUCUGUUUGGCACUAGGACAAAUGCUACAUUGCUUUAUUCUGUCUUCUAUCACUUGUACUCCAUGAUCUACAACUCUCUUUAGUACACCAGUUGAAACAUGUCCUAAUCUUUGGUGCCACAGAUUCAUUUCAGCUUGUGUCUUUUCCACAGUUACUUCAGUAGUGACUUUGGUUACUCCUGCAACUUCAGUGCUUGGUUGUUCUUCUAGUAAGUAUAAACCUCCAUCAAGCUUUCCAAUACCCUUCACCUUUCCAGUAUAAAGAUCCUCGAAAACACAGAAAUUAGGGAAGAAGUUCACUGAACAAUUCCAUUCCUUAGUUACUUGUGACACUGAUAGGAGACUGCAUGAAAAUUAUGGGAUAUGAUAGAUAUUUGUAAUGGUGUUUCCUUCUGCUAAACAGCUAGUUCCUACAUGAGUGACCAUUGUAGUAUCACUAUUUGGUAGAUACACUUUCUUUGGAUUUUGUAACUCUGUAACAGUCUUGUUAAGUAAUAAUCUUGAAUUACCAACCAUAUGAUUGGUGUAAUCCGUUUCUGUGAACCAAAAGAAGCUAAACAAGCAGAAAUACCUGUACUUGUUACAUUUGCAGAUUCAGUAGAUGUGUUGAUAGAGUUACUCUUGUUUAUCAGUUGCAAGAUUUGCUCAUACUGUUCCUUGGUAAAAGCUGGAUUUCUAAUUUGACUUAGUUGAUCCAUCUGAGUACUUGCAGUUACUAAUUGUCCUGUAUCCUUAGUGCAGCAACUUGAGUUUUGAGAAAUACACAGAUACAGAGGCAGUACCUUGAGACAAUGUAGCAAUCUCUUUGUGAAGAUUGAAUGUUCUGGCCCCAUCCACUUUGUUAAACCUUUCAGACAACACUUGCCACAGAUGCAUACAUAAUUCCUCCUAGUAAUUCUUUAGAAACAAAGUUCAUGAUCCAAGAAAGUACAAUUGCAUUCACUAUUUCCCAAUGACUACUUAACUCAACUAAGAACUUGUCUUUAGGACAUGUUUCAUCCACCAUGCCCAGCUUAUUUCUUCCAAGUAAAGCAAUGCGCAUGGAUCUAAACCAAAUUGAGAAGUUCUCAACCCCUGUUAACUAAAAAAAAAUAAUUUGUAUGCCACUCACAUCAGAAGGACUUUGGAAGAGAGGAUGAUUGUAAUCCAAAGAACUUGGAGUAACUCUGGAACCCUCAGCAGCAGGAUUAACAGAAGCAUUUGAAUUCACCAUUGUUGCAUACCUUCAAUUCUUGAAUCAAGAUUCUUUGAUUUUCCAGUGAAAAAAUCAAUGCACCAGAAUCGAUCUUGCUCUACUAGUUUGCUAGUGAGUAAUGGCUAUGAUACCAUGUAAUUAACCAUACACUGCUAUACUACUUGCUAGCAGCUCUUUAGAUGAAAGGCAAAAGAAGUACAGAUUUAGAGGAAGAAGAAGAAGAAGAAUGAGAUGAGUAGAUGAGAAAGAUUGUUAAGAGUGAAUAGAUUUGUUGAAUUCAUCAUUCUUCAAUGUGUAUUGUCAUAUACAUUUAUAGGCUAGGGAUUAGGCUAACUAACUAACUAACUAGCCGUUAACACUAGUGUAACUAACUAAAAAACAAUUAUAAUAGAAAGCCCACUAGUCUAAUUAUUGCUUCUUCUAGAUUCUUCUCUACUCUCUUCUUUAUACUUCAACAAUUUUAGUAUUACAUAGUUAAAAAGAAUUAAAAAAAGUUGAUAUCGAAAACAAAAUAAACCUUUUUUCUGAUGAAUAGUAGAUUCCUUUUGGAGAAAAGAAAGCAAAAGAAAAAGAAAAAGAUUAGUUAGAAAGGCUUGCAUAGUGUUGCUUAAGUCAGAAAAAAAGAAGAAAAGGAGAUUAUAUAUCGUGGAGGGCUGCUUAGUAUUUAAUAAGUUGAAAAUGAUCUCACUUUCCCAUCAACUUGAAAGAGAAAGAGUAAUCAUUCAUUUUUCUUCAUCAUUUGACUUCAUCUUCUUCCUACUUCUCUUACUGCUUCUUCUCCACAACAUUAUUUUUCUCUUCUAGAACUCUUACGAAUUCCUGUACUUUUUUGUUUCACUUUAUCAUAGUUUCCACUUGGUAUUUCAUUAGAGAUCUUUUUCAGCUCAGUGACUAAAGGGUAGCCUUGGAGUAACUGGUAAAGUUGCUGCCAUGUGACCAGGAGGUCAUGGGUUCAAGCCUUGGAAAUAGCCUCUGGCAAAAAUGCAAGGUAAGGCUGCGUACGAUAUACUCUUGCAGAAAUACAAGGUAAGGCUGCGUACGAUACGAUACACCCUUGUGGUGGGGCUCUUCCCCGGACACCGCACAUAGCGGUAACUUUAGUGCACCGGGCUGCCCUUUUUUUCAGCUCAGUGACUGGUAUAUAUAUACAUGUUGAUUGAUUUUUCUUUGUCUAUCAGAAACAACCUCUCUAUCCCACAACAGUAGGGUAAGGUUUGCGUAUACCCCACCCUCCCUAGACCCCACUUGUGGAACUAUACUGGGUAUGUUGUUUGUUGAUUGUUGUUUUUGUUGUUUUCUCUGUUGCUAUUUCUGAUGUGUUUUGAUAUUUUUGACUCAUAUAUUAUUUGUUGCUUGCUGUUUUGGGUUAUUAAGAAGUUGUUUUGUAAUCUCUUAUAAUCACUUGAGCUUUUAGAUGAAGCUUUUGUGUUCUGCUUAAGAAAUGUUUUUGAAGAAAACAUAUAUAUAUAUAUAUAUAUAUAUCUAUAUAUAUAUUUAUAUUUGGAUUUGGUUUUGGUUUUGGUUUGGUUUGAUUUUGGAGAGCCAAUUGAUCUGUGAAAAAAGUUUUGAAAAUAAUUUCACAGAACAUUUGCUUUAGGUACGUUUUCUUGGUAUGUUUCUCACUCGUGGGAUUAUACUUGGUAUGUUGUUGUUCUUGUUGUGUUUGCUUUGGAUAUUUUAGUUAUUUUCUUCAAACGCCCAAGUUUAUUUUGUUACUUAUUUUCAGAAAAGCAUUUGUGAUUUAGUUUCCUUCAAUCAAAUUGAUUGUUUUUGAGCUGUUAUAGCAUCUGACUCUUUCCUUGUCUAGAUUGUUUUAUUUUGAGCCGGGGGUCUAUCCGAAACAACCUCUCUAUCUCACAUCUGAGGUAGUGGUAUGGACUGCGUACACUUACCCUCCCCAGACCCCACUUAGUGGGAAUAUACUGGGUAUGUUGUUGUUGUUGUUUGUUUCCUACAACAACAAACUUAAAGGCAAAUUCUAAGAAGGUGGUGCUGUGUGAUAAGAAGGUGCCGCCCAAGCUUAAAGGCAAAUUCUAUAGGGUGGUAGUCCGUCCGGCCUUGCUGUAUGGAGCGGAGUGUUGGCCAGUUAAGAACUCCCACAUCCAAAAAAUGAAGGUGGCAGAAAUGCGGAUGUUGCGCUGGAUGUGGAGUUAUUGUUUGUUAGGCUUAAGUUAAUCAUAUGAUUGCAAAGUUCGAUGUUUGUUUAGAAAAUUAACUUAAAGCUUUAUGACAUGACCCUAGAUAGGAAGGUCUGGAAGACGCGAAUUACGGCAGAAGAGUAGGGCCAGAUUGGGUCGCUAGUGUUGGGAAUUACUUGGUGGGGGUUUUUAUUUUUUAUUCCUGUUAUGAUUCCGUAUUCAGUGUUCCAUGCUUAUUACGAAUCUGUGUGCUUUCCUCUGCUUUCCUCUGUUUUAUAUUCCGUAUGGGUGCCGUAUUUAUGUUAUGUCAUCUGCUUCUGUGCUUUACUACGUGUUUGUGUGAUAUCUUGUGCCUGAGCCGGGGGUCUUUCGGAAACAGCCUUUCUACUUCAUCAGAGGUAGAGGUAUGGACUGCGUACAUCUUACCCCCCCCAAACCCCACUAAGUGGGAAUACACUGGGUUUGUUGUUGUUGUUGUUGUAUGUAUGUCUUUUUCUUCCCCAUGUUUUUUCUAAUCAAAGAGGCUAGUGCUACUAAUAAAUGAAAAACAAAUAUAUCGUCACAAAGAGAAGAUACCUGUAGAACAUAGGCAGCAUCAAGUGUGGUAAGAUGGACGAGACCUUUCUACCCUUAACAAGAGGUCUCGAGUUCGAAGAGGUUUCAGGUUCUAGUCUUGAUAAUGGACAAACUCCUGAUAUAAGGCCUUCCCCUUCAGUGGUACUAUAUGUCCAAAGACGGAUCCAUGAUUUUGAAUUUAUGAUUCCUAGAUCUUAGAAAAGGCAGUUUAAUAAGUCUGCAUCAAUUAUUUAUACAUAUUAAGCUAAUUUCUUAAUACAUAUAGGAUUUUGGCAAAAGUUAUUGUGUUCUGCUACACCCCUAACUAACAUUCUAGUUCCGCCCUCCCGUAUGUGUCACAAACUCGGGUUAGUUGAACCAGUGAGUUUUGAAUACCAGUGGUUAAACGGAAAAAGAAAGAAGAAAGCAAGGCAAUUUUUGAUAUGAUAGUAAGUUCGAAACAAAACAAUUGUUGAAAUAAAAGACGGCCUUGUAAUUUUUCUUAUGAUACGCAGUAUAAGUUAAAUCACCAGGCAUGAAUGGAGAUAUCUGUCAUUAAGCCUAUAAAAUAUAGUGUUUAGCUAUGUUUCACAUCUUCUAUCGCAUUGAUAUGAACUCAUGUCCAUUUUGUGGUGUCGUUCCUUUUCUGAUAAGUAGAGUUUGUAGUAUCUUGGUGGUGAAAUCAGAUAGCAGGUUAUUCUGACACAACCAAAUUCAAGAUGAAUACAGGGAUAAUUCUGGUACUUCAUCAUAAUGUUUGCGUGCUCUGUAAUAUUUAGUCAAAAGUGUCAAAAAUAACUGGGAAGUUUGAGGUUAAACAUAGCUUUAGAACUUGGUGUGAGGUGGCUUUAAUUUACCUUCUCUUUUUCCAAAAAUAUUUCUGUUGUGUUUGUUCAUUCUUCUUUUCAAAGUUCUCUUUUUCUCUUUUGCUAUUAGCUGUUUGAUUUCUCGACUUCCUCUUCCUCAAGAAUCCACAGUAAAUGCCAGUAGGGAUAAAUCAUAGCUUGAAUUUGCGAAGUUGGACUUUGGACUUGUCUCCUUGUGUGUAAUUACAUCAGUGGAAAUAUUUAGCUCUUGUCAUCAUAAAUAUACUUACAUUUAUGCAAGCUAAGUUUCCUAUUUCGUUCUUUCUUUUUUCCUUUACCCUUCUAUUUUUCUAACAAAAAUCAGUCUAAAUGGAGCAUUUGUAGGGUCAAGUUAAGCUUGAUGUAGAAUGGCUCAUGCUGCUAUCGUAUCUCUUCAACAAAAACUGCAGGGAAUGCUCAAAGGUGACAAUGCUAUUACCUUGCACUACGUCAAGCAGUCAGUUCCUGGCAUGCUUUUCUGGAGGACUCUGUGUCUGUUAGAAGUGCUCCCGAAGCAGUGAAUUAUUAGGAAAAGCGGGUUAAAUGUUUGGCAACUCAACUUCUAGAUAGCAUCAACUUAUAUGAUUUGGAAAAGAGAUCACCCUAUGGCUAUCCACAAAGUUGGAAAGUGAUCCAGGAAGAGGCAGUGACAGCAGGUUUCGAUAGCAUAAAUGAAUAUUUGAAGAAGGUUAUGAAUGCUCGGAAUGAUAUUGAUACUCUGCCAAUAUCGGAUACUGUGGAGAGUGAUUCAGAAUACAGUCUUCAUCUCCAAGAUACUGUGUUAGACCUUGAUAAUGACUUAAUGACUAUUAAAUCUCGGCUUGUAGGACCUCCUUCAAAUCUAGAUGUCAUCUCAAUUGUUGGCAUGGGAGGAAUUGGCAAAACGACUCUUUGCUAGACAAAUUUAUGAUGAUAUUUACAUGGAGCAUCACUUCUACAUUCGUGCUUGGAUUACUGAAUCUCAAGUGCAUCAACAUAGAGAAAUGUUGUUGGGCAUUUUGCGGUGUUUUUCACUUGUCAAUGACAACACCUACCUAAAGAGUACUGAGCAAUUAUCUGAGCAAGUUUAUAGAAGUUUGAAGGGAAGGAGAUAUCUCAUUGCAAUGGAUGAUGUGUGGGACACCAAUACAUGGUAUGUUGUGAAAAGAUCUUUUCCAGAUGAUAAAAAUGGA